rnacentral:rRNA from 1 species
UACGAAGGGGGGCUAGCGUUGCUCGGAAUCACUGGGCGUAAAGGGGUGCGUAGGCGGGUCUUUUAAGUCAGGGGGUGAAAAUCCUGGAGCUCAACUCCGGAAUUGCCUUUUGAGACUGGAUAGCUUUGAAAUCACGGAGAGGUGGGGUGGAAAUUUCCCGAGUGUAGAGGGUGAAAAUUCGUAGAUAUUCGGAAAGAACACCAGUGGCGAAGGCGGCCCCACUGGACGUGUAUUGACGCUGAGGUGCGAAAGCGUGGGGGAGCAAAACAGG